rnacentral:piRNA from 1 species
UGAAUAGCUCACUUACAUGAUGUGCCCUAA